AGGACGAACGCUGGCGGCGUGCUUAACACAUGCAAGUCGAGCGGAAAGGCCCUUCGGGGUACUCGAGCGGCGAACGGGUGAGUAACACGUGAGCAACCUGCCCUUGGCUCUGGGAUAGCCUCCGGAAACGGGGAUUAAUACCGGACAUGACCCGUGAUUGCAUGAUCACGGGUGGAAAGUUUUUCGGCCAGGGAUGGGCUCGCGGCCUAUCAGCUUGUUGGGGGGUAACGCCCACCAAGGCGACGACGGGUA
rnacentral:rRNA from 1 species